rnacentral:rRNA from 1 species
UAGGGAAUCUUCGGCAAUGGACGAAAGUCUGACCGAGCAACGCCGCGUGAGGGAAGAAGGUUUUCGGAUCGUAAAACUCUGUUGUUAGAGAAGAACAAGGACGUUAGUAACUGAACGUCCCCUGACGGUAUCUAACCAGAAAGCCACGGCUAACUACGUGCCAGCAGCCGCGGUAAUACGUAGGUGGCAAGCGUUGUCCGGAUUUAUUGGGCGUAAAGCGAGCGCAGGCGUUUUCUUAAGUGUGAUGUGAAAGUCCCCGGCUCAAGCGGGGAGGGUUAGUGGAAGCUGGGAGACUUGAGUGGAGAAGAGGGGGGUGGAAUUCCGUGUGUAGCGGUAAAAUGCGUAGAUAUAAGGAGGAACACCAGUGGCGAAGGCGGCUCGCUGGACUACAACUGACGCUGAGGCUCGAAAGCGUGGGGAGCAAACAGG